GACGAACGCUGGCGGCGUGCUUAACACAUGCAAGUCGAACGGAAAGGCCCUGCUUUUGUGGGGUGCUCGAGUGGCGAACGGGUGAGUAACACGUGAGUAACCUGCCCUUGACUUUGGGAUAACUUCAGGAAACUGGGGCUAAUACCGGAUAGGAGCUCCUGCUGCAUGGUGGGGGUUGGAAAGUUUCGGCGGUUGGGGAUGGACUCGCGGCUUAUCAGCUUGUUGGUGGGGUAGUGGCUUACCAAGGCUUUGACGGGUAGCCGGCCUGAGAGGGUGGCCGGCCACAUUGGGACUGAGAGACGGCCCAGACUCCUACGGUAGGCAGCAGUGGGGAAUAUUGCACAAUGGGCGGAAGCCUGAGGCAGCAACGUCGCGUGCGGGAUGACGGCCUUCGGGUUGUAAACCGCUUUCGCCUGUUACGAAGCGUGAGUGACGGUAAUGGGUAAAGAAGCACCGGCUAACUACGUG
rnacentral:rRNA from 1 species